rnacentral:rRNA from 1 species
GUACGAGGCGAGCGUUAUCCGGAAUUACUGGGCGUAAAGCGCGCGCAGGCGGAUAUGUAAGUUGGGCGUGAAAUCUCCCGGCCUAACUGGAGGGGUCGCCCAAGACUGCAUGUCUUGAGGCUGGCAGAGGUAGGUGGAAUUCCUGGUGUAGUGGUGAAAUGCGUAGAGAUCAGGAGGAACACCGGUGGCGAAGGCGGCCUACUGGGCCAGCUCUGACGCUGAGGCGCGAAAGCUCGGGGAGCGAACGGGAUUAGAUACCCCGGUAGUCCGAGCCGUAAACGAUGGGUACUAGGUGUUCGUGGUAUCGACCCCACGGGUGCCGGAGCUAACGCGAUAAGUACCCCGCCUGGGGAGUACGGCCGCAAGGUUA